AAGAUACUAGUAAACAAAUAUUACCUUGUCUUGUCAAGGCAAAAUUGUAGGUUAAAAUCCUACGUAUCUUA
rnacentral:tRNA from 1 species